CCCGCCCCGCGCCGCCUCUCUGGUUUGUGCGCCCGUCGCAGGUCGCAGGCCUCUUUGUCAGCUGGAGUUGCGCGGGCUGACGCGCCACUAUGUAGCGGGUUUCGGGCGGGCCACGCGUGCGGGACAGGAACCCAACCCCAGCCGACCUUGAGCUCCAGGAGUUCGUCUCUUACGUCUGCGGAAGUGCAGCUGCCUCAGUUCUUAGCGCAGGUUGACAACUACAGGCACAAGCCAUUGAAGCUGGAAUGUCCUGUUGCUGGUAUUUCAAUUGACUUAAGCCAACUAUCCCUUCAGUUACAAUAGGAAAGUGCCUCUAAUAAGGCCAAAUAUGCGUACUAACUUGUAGCAACCACGUGUCCGUGCAGUGCCACAGGAGCUAGAGCAGUGACAAUGCUGGUGGCAACAGGGCAGUGUAGCAGGUGCUUCAUGUUCACCUUUUCAACCUUUUCAUUUAAUUGUCACAACUCGGAGGUGGAUUCUGUUAGGGACAGGCUGCCCCAGGACCACUCCGCCCCCGCUAACUCAAUGCAGCUGACCCUUACCCUGAAUACUCUGCAGCUGCAUUCCUGAACCGUUAUCUAGGCGCUAUAGCAAGGUCACCAGACUUGCUACACCGAAGCCCUCUGGGUGGCACGGGGGAGGUCAUGAGAAACGUGGAUUACACCCCCUUGUAAAUUCCUAUUUUCACAAGAUAAUAUAUUGUAAGCCGGUCAUGAGAUUAUAUGUGGUAAAGUUAAUUGACUAACAACCCCAGGGUCUCUCUCCCCCAUAUAAACCCCUCAUUUUGUAAGCUCAGGGCUGCCACCUCCGACUGGUGGAGAAGCCUGGCAGGUUAAUAAACUUACUUGGCCUGACCUUGGGUCUCUUGUCUUUUCUCUCGGCUAACCUUACAGAUUCUAUUCUCCCAUUUCACAGGUAAAGAAAUGGAUUAGUGAUAACUCAAGUUUCAUCACCUCACCCUGUAAUGGCCCUGUAGCAUCAGAACUACAUUGCGCAUCGCAUGCAAACUUACCUAACUGCCUCUGCUUCUCUCCAUUCUGUAAAGUCCACCUUAGUUCCCACCAUAUUACAGAGGGUCUAGUCAGGUGCUUGACCUUUUGUAGGUAAGUGGCUUACAGUCCCCUUCUAAGGGCCGCAUAAUGUUGAGCCUAGGUUCAAAUCUCUGUGUGUGAUCUUAAACCUCUUAGUGUUAGGUUCUAUUAACAAGUAAUUAAAAUGAGUUAUAUGUGGUACAUCAGACUACUUGGUAAGUAGUAAAUACUCAGCAAAUGAUAUAUUAGUUGGUAGUACUAUUUAAUCAUUUUUAUAACACCGUAUAGUCAUAAUGUAAGAACAAAAUGACAAUACUGAUAUUUAGUACUGUGUGUGUUUCAGCAGCACAUCUACUAAAAUUGGAACUGAUACUUAGUAUUUACAUAAUACUGGAAUAGCUCUAAUGUUCUUUUAAUGGAGCAUUAACUAUGGGCCAAGUACUAUUCUAGGUAUCACGAGAAUCAGUGAGCAAGUAUACAAAAAUCAGUGGAUAUGGUUGGUUUUGA
rnacentral:lncRNA from 1 species